UGGCCUAUGGUGUAAUUGGCAGCACGACUGAUUCUGGUUCAGUUAGUCUUGGUUCGAGUCCAGGUAGACCAG
rnacentral:tRNA from 3 species